UACGUAGGGUGCGAGCGUUAAUCGGAAUUACUGGGCGUAAAGCGUGCGCAGGCGGCGCGUUAAGACAGGUGUGAAAGCCCCGAGCUUAACUUGGGGAAUUGCGCUUGUGACUGGCGUGCUGGAGUGUGGCAGAGGGAGGUGGAAUUCCACGUGUAGCAGUGAAAUGCCGUAGAGAUGUGGAGGGAACACCGAUGGCGAAGGCAGCCUCCUGGGCCAAGCACUGGAACGCUCAUGCACGAAAGACCGUGGGGAGCAAACAGG
rnacentral:rRNA from 1 species